rnacentral:rRNA from 1 species
GACGAACGCUGGCGGCGUGCUUAACACAUGCAAGUCGAACGGAAAGGCCCUGCUUUUGUGGGGUGCUCGAGUGGCGAACGGGUGAGUAACACGUGAGUAACCUGCCCUUGACUUUGGGAUAACUUCAGGAAACUGGGGCUAAUACCGGAUAGGAGCUCCUGCUGCAUGGAGGGGGUUGGAAAGUUUCGGCGGUUGGGGAUGGACUCGCGGCUUAUCAGCUUGUUGGUGGGGUAGUGGCUUACCAAGGCUUUGACGGGUAGCCGGCCUGAGAGGGUGACCGGCCACAUUAGGACUGAGAUACGGCCCAGACUCCUACGGGAGGCAGCAGUGGGGAAUAUUGCACAAUGGGCGGAAGCCUGAUGCAGCAACGCCGCGUGCGGGAUGACGGCCUUCGGGUUGUAAACCGCUUUCGCCUGUGACGAAGCGUGAGUGACGGUAAUGGGUAAAGAAGCACCGGCUAACUACGUG